AUUUUACGUAGACAUAGGUUGAAGUAUGUACCAGGCUCGGAGCAAAGACAAAUGCAGCUAUCUCUUUUAUCACAUCGCUUUAAACAUUUUUCAGCUUUAGGCUUUUCUUACAAAUCCGCUCUAUCAGGCUAUUAAUUGUUUCACUGUACCUGAUCUCUAACAGGAAUGCACCUUGCAAAACAGCAGGAGAAAGCACAUUUCUUAAAGUCCUCCGAUGGCUUAACACUGUGGCUCAUCUCCUUGCACAUUAUACUCCUAGCUGUAGUUCAUCCAUUAGGCUGGAAAAGACAAGAUUCCCAAGUGGCCUUGGUGCCUUUUUCCGAUUCCCAGGGGACCCACCAACCCUCCGCGUGUGUUGCCUGCGCACAGGGAGUGUUCCCUGCUAAUCAGGUCAAUGAUUAUCGCCGGGCUCCAGGGACCUGACAGGAGCCUAUCACAGCAGUUAGGGAGCCACCAAACGCAGCAUGCUUGCGGAGGAUCUCCCGUUAGGAAACAUCGCUUAGUCCUCAUUUACUCACUGGAACCUCUGAGGAUUUCAGCUUAUCUUUUUGUCCUCGCAGACAGUGAGGGGCUCUACAUAAACAGGAAAAAGACGCCCCGCAGGCAGCUACUUGGAGGGUGUUGAUCGAAAACUUCCAUCUCCCCACCCCAUUCACGGUUGAUUUGACUGAUUUCUCACCUCCUUCACAGAGAAUAUUUCAAUUAAGGUAAGUGCUGGGAGAGCUGGACUGCAUCGCCCUGAAUUUCUGCAUUGAAAGUUCUGACCAAACUGAGAUUCUGCACUGCAGCAAGUGACUGUUUAUGCCAGGAAAAGGCUUAGUUUAUAAGCAAGUGUCCUAGAAUGAAAACCGGCAUUUGGGGAUAAUGAGAUGGCAGAGCAAUUUCUCUUGAAAUACGAACAGGCUUGCCUUGCGUCAAGAGAAAAUAAAGGGAAAUAUGAAAAGAGAGUGAAUUUCUCAUUUUACCUUUUUAGUAAUCUGGAGAACUGUGCAGCGCUAAGGUAACUUGAUUUUGAUUGAAGUGUUUUGUUGAUGUCAUACGGUGAAAUCUCUGAGUCGAAACGCUUCAAAGUUAAAUUAGAUGGAAAGAAAAUUUGCAAAUGAGAGUUGAGAUUUUGUGCAGCUCUCUACUUUAACAAUGUUCCCGGGCUCCCUGUGGGUUAAAGGAUUUAGGGCUAAUCCCCGAAUGUUUUAACAGUGUCCAUUUAGGAAUUAAAAUAUAAAAUGAUAAAGUUUCUGAUGUAACUGUUAAGAAAAACAAACCAAAAAGAAUUAAUAUACCACUGGUACGAUUUAUGGUUCUUGUAGAAGAGAACGAUUUCUUUUCUGAAAUAGAUUAAUAAAAGGAAAGACCAGAAAAAUUAACUUCUCUCUAAAAUGCUUAUUUUUGAGAGGAGAAUUCUCCAAUAAGAGAUUACAUUCGUGUGUUUAUUGAAAUCUUGGCUUUUAUGUUUGAGGUUGCUCUUUGUUAUCAAACUAAAGCGAAUUGAGGUUAAGCUUGCUUUGUACAUAGUUUAGGGCAAUUAUCUACGCAAUUAGGAUAAACUGGUACAUGUUAUUUCUUCUAAAGCUAUUUUUCUCCUAAGUUUAAGAAUAUCCAGAGAGAAUGGAAGAGUUUUUUUUUUUUCAAAGUUGGAUUUAAUUAUGUGAACUUUUUUCUAUAUUACUUUGCACAUAUAAUCUAACGGUUUUAUCCCAUAUUAUGGUAAAUUUCUAUGUAAUCAAGAAUACUACAGUAAUUCUAUCACUGUAAUUAGAUAUGAUAGAUUGAUUAGUACCCUAAGCAUGGUGUGAGUGAAUGAUAGCAACCACUUACCUUUUUAUAAUGUAGUAGUUCAAAAUGAUUUUCAAACAGGGAAACAUUAGUUAAGGUAUAGGUACAUAUCAUAAUUACACUGAAUUUCAAUAACCACUCUAUUCUGCUAAGACACAAUAUUUAUCUAAUAAAUAUCUAGCUGCUUUCAUGUAAAGACUUACAUGGUAUCUUAAACUUGCUUUUCUAGAAUGAGCACUCAUAUUUCAUGAAAUGGUGAUUCUACCCUUCUCCUAUGGUUAUCCUGAGAUGUAGCAUUUUAUUAAGAUGUCAAAACACUCUUUAUCUUAAUUGGCCAUCCUUCUGAAAUUCUCUAGAGAGCUUUUCAGGCUGAUGUUGAUGUUGUUACUUCUCUCACAGGAAUAAACUAUUUUCAGGAUACCCAUAGGCGCUGACAUGUGUUUGCUGGUUGUCUGAAUGUUUUUUAGCCAAAGACUGAAGACAUUCAUCUGCCUCUGCUACACUGAGACUUCUGUGUCUUUUCUCCAGAGAGUUGGUUUCUCAACUGAUUCAAAGACACCUGAGAGAAAUGUGUUGACAACAGUUAGCUCUUACUAGGUUUUGGCUUCAUCUUACUCUUCUUCCUUUUUUUUAAUUUUAAAUUUUUUAUUUUUUUAGUACUAUUGAUACAUAGAAAGAGACAACAUUAACCACACAAGGCCACAUUUGCCAUGACCAAACUUUUACAAUGCUUAAACUAUCUCUGUAUUAUCGACUAUCCUUGUGCAGAGUUCAAAAUUGAUGGUGGUAUCCUACCCAGUGAACUUUUAUUGGAUGUACUUUGUUGAUGUAUAUGACUAUUGAAAGAUGUGUCAGUGUAUAAAUGAAAUAUAUAAGUCUAAAAAUGAAGGCAAUUAUAGUUCUUAUUUAAAAAGUUAUACCUAGGGACACCUGGGUGGCUCCGUCGGAUAAGCGUUUGACUCUUUAUUUCAGCUCAGGCCAUGAUCUCACGGUUCCUGAGUUCAAGCCUUCACACUCACAGUGUGGAGCCUGCUUGGGAUACUCUCUCUCUCUCUCUCUCUCUCCCUCUCUCUCUCUCUUUCUUUUUCUCUGCCCCUCCCCUGCUCAUUCUCUCUCUCAAAAUAAAGAUAAAAAUUAAAAAGUUAUACCUGAAGUUUUUAAAGAGGUUUUAUGAUUGUAGAUGUUGUCUUAAUUUGCAUUAUGUAGGCUAAAAAGGAAAUGGAGAAAAUAUUGGGUACAAUUGAAUUUUAGGAGUUGUUGCUUUCAGGUAGCACCUGACUCUUCAAUCAGAUUUCCCUUUUUGUUUUUCCUCACUUAUUAUAUUAUCUCCAAGUGCCCCCUUACCUCUACGUUCUAUAUUGAAUCCCAUUUUUCAUUCAUUUGACAGUAAUUUAUUCCUUCUGUGGGAUCCAAAAACAUAGGAUAAACUCACUUAGAGUAGACAGUUUCAAAAUUUAAACCAAAAAGUCUGUUAAAACUUUCCUUAUGAUUUAUAACCUGCUUUUCUCUUUGUGACAUUUUCAAUAAAAGGUAAUAGGGACAAGCAGUGUCUAACAAGUUUUCUAAAUGACAAACAGCUGGGUUAUAAACUUUGCAUAUAUAGUUUCAUAAUCAAGUAAAAUUGAUAACAUCAAGGUUAUCUCCAAUGAGGAGAUGCAGGCUGGGAGAGGACAGGUAACCGAGGGAAGGACAUACCAUAGUCAGUGGACCUUUGAUUCACACUCAGAUCGGCCUGCGUUUAAAGCUCCUAAUAUUUAUGCUGUACUUUUAUAUCACCUAGUAUGUUGUGACCUUUUCCAGUGUUUGAUGUGGCACUCAUGAAUAUUUUAAGAUAAUUUAUAAGAUAGUACAGCUUAAUUAUAUUACCUUCAAAAUAGUUUAACUCUUGACUUACUCAAAGUAAAUGACUUUGUAAAUUCCAUAACCACCAGUUUUUGAAAUAAGCAUGUACUUUGUUCUUUUUGGUUCUGAAAGAAGUCAGUAUAGGAAUCUUUGCAUCAAGCUGAUCCUGAUUACCACUAACAGGUAAAGUUCUCUACCAUGUGGAUAAUUGGAACUGAAAUUUAGUAUCGGGAGCAGUGGACAUACUCUCAGGACAAAAUCAAAUUAUAACGUAGUGAUAUAAAUUCAAUGCCACUUCUGUGAAACGAGAUUAAAAGAAAAGUUAAGAAGAAUUCAUGUUCAUGGCAAAAGACACUCACAAUAGUAGACAGGAUAAACUGGGGCGCCUGGCCGGCUCAUUCAGUUGAGCAUCCGACUUCAGCUCAGGUCAUGAUCUCAUGGUUCGUGGAUGUGAGCCCCGCAUCGGGCUCUGUACUGACAGCUCAGAGCCUGAAGCCUGCUUCGGAUUCUGUGUCCCCCUCUUUCUCUGUUCCUCCCCUGCUUGCACUCUGUCUACUCUCAAAACUAAAUAAAACAUUUUUAAAAAAUUAAAAAAAAAAGAAAGAAAAGAUAAACUAAUGGUUGGAAUUGAAUGUUGGAAAGUGACUGAAAAAUUAAUAUUUAAGUGUACAGAAGUCUAUUUGUUCUACUGACUUUAUAUAAACCUUCCCAUGUAUAUGCAGAGAUUUACUAUAGCUAAUUAUGUUGAUUUGUGACAUUAUCCAAACCAAAAUUUUGUUCAGUCUAUGACAAAAGAGAAGAGAUGUCACAAAAUUAGGACUGACCUGGAAAAUCAAUAAUGAUUAGCUAUCAUAUCCAAGGAUGUACUGAGAUGUAACUGGAAGUUAGGUUGCAUAGUUACAAAAUACCGUUUAUUAUGCUCCAACAUACUCCCAAACAUUUAAAAAAAUAACGUUAUAACAGAUAUUGUGAAUAUUGGAUUCAAUAAUUUUUAGAAACAUGAUCUGUCUAUCAUCUAUCUAUCUAUCUAUCUAUCUAUCUAUCUAUCUAUNNNNNNNNNNNNNNNNNNNNNNNNNNNNNNNNNNNNNNNNNNNNNNNNNNNNNNNNNNNNNNNNNNNNNNNNNNNNNNNNNNNNNNNNNNNNNNNNNNNNNNNNNNNNNNNNNNNNNNNNNNNNNNNNNNNNNNNNNNNNNNNNNNNNNNNNNNNNNNNNNNNNNNNNNNNNNNNNNNNNNNNNNNNNNNNNNNNNNNNNNNNNNNNNNNNNNNNNNNNNNNNNNNNNNNNNNNNNNNNNNNNNNNNNNNNNNNNNNNNNNNNNNNNNNNNNNNNNNNNNNNNNNNNNNNNNNNNNNNNNNNNNNNNNNNNNNNNNNNNNNNNNNNNNNNNNNNNNNNNNNNGUGUGUGUGUGUGUGUGUGUGUGUGUGUGUGGAGAUAGAUAGAUAACCCCCUUUAUUACUAUUCCAAAAGAAUGACCAUGAUCUGUUAAAAGCAGUAUUGCAUAGGAGUUUGUUAUGUCCACAAUGCACAGGUAUCCUCAUCCAAAAAAUAUGACUAUGUGUCUAAGACCCACUGGUCACAGUAGAUUUGACCAGAGAUGUAAAACAAACAUCUCUGGGAUGGCCAAUGGAUACCAGGUGGAUGACAAAAGAACCAGACCAGUGUAGGAUGUUCUCUAUUAGGUAAUAAAUACCUGACUGGUGACUUUUAAAAUCUGAAAUAAAUGUGGAUAACAGCAGUUGGUGGGCAGGAGCAGAAGUUGAAAAACACAGAUGGUAGUCUGCAGAAAUCAUGAAUAAGCUGAGGUCAUGAGGUUGGUAGAAAAGAAAGAAGAGGUUUAUUCCUUUAUGUCAGGUGAGACACAUUUUCUGAGUCACCAUAAUGGCUAAGCACAAGAAAGGAGAGCUUUCUUGUGGAGGGGUAACAAAGCUGUGUUAUCCUGGGUAAUAUUUCAGGCACCCUGUGCAGUGGUGAGACUUCCUGUUUUCAACAUUUUUCUCUAUGGUUGCAGUCCCAUUUACUAAUUUAAGCUGAGUAAAUCUUUGUUUUUUGCAAACUAAAAGGUUAUAACCAGCCCAGCAUCGUAAGUAUUCAUGGUCUCAUUAGAAAAUGGGUAAGACAGAAAUGUGUAGUGGCUAUAAUGAUGUACAAGUGCUAGGUUCAAAUGACCACUAAGGGUAAUUUCUAGCUCUAUGACUUCAGGCACAUAAGUUAAAGUAUCUAAACUUUGUGGGUUUUUUUUUUUUUGUGAUUUUUAAAAUGGAUCUAAUGGUAGUACUAUUCCACGGGGCGCCUGGGUGGCUCAGUAGGUUAAGCAUCCGACCUGGGCUCAGGUCAUGAUCUUGUGGUUCAUGGCCUCGAAUCCUGCAUCGGGCUCUGUGCUGACAGCUCAGAACCUGGAGCUUGCUUCAGAUUCUGUGUCUCCCUCUCUCUCUCUUUCCUUCCCCUGCUCAUGCUCUGUGCCUCUGUGUCUCUCAAAAACACAUAAACAUUAAAAAAAAGAAGAAAGAAAAAGAAAAAAACAUAAUGAUAGUACUGAUCCAUAGCACUGUUGUGUGAAAUAAAGGAGAUAAUUGAUAUAAUUGCUCAGGUCAUCAGGAGAUGAUAGUUAUUAUAAAUGAGAAACCUUGUUAUGAGUCCCUCACUUUAUCUGUCACGUAGAGAAAAUGAGGGAUAGUAUCUCUCUUUAGCAGGAAUGCACACUGGGACCUUACCAGAAGCUCCUGAAACCAUUUCCUGACACUAUGUUUAUAUCAGUAUUUGCAUUUUAGGAACAUGCAAUUUUUUUCUAUUGGAUUUAGACAGAUGAGUGGAUGUUUCUUGAAAGAAAGUAAUUCAGUAGACAGUUUAUAGAAACCCUUCUAUUUUCGGCAGUGGUUGUUUGCAUGCACAAAACCAGAGCUGAAUAGUUGAACAUAAAGAUAUUGUAGAGGCUGCAAAGCUGAAGAUUUUUGCUGUUUUGUCUUUUGCAGAAGUUUGCUGACUCCUUGCUUAAAAAAGAAACUAAUUCAUGUUGCAUGUCUUUUUUUGUAUUAUUAUGAGCAUAAUAAAUAUUUGGUGAAAUAUUUUUAAAAUGUUUCGAAGAUAAUUGUCUAAAUGUCUUUUUCCAGAUAGAUUCAAGCUUAUCAUUUCCUCCUAUCCACUAAUUCACCCAUACUGUUUUAUGCAAUUUCAAUCUUCUAAUUAUAAAUGUUGAGAAUUUUGCAUAUAUAUGCAAAAAUAUUCCAAAUUUUGCAUAUUGAUUAAAUUGAUUCAAGUAAUAAGCAUAGCAAAUCUGCAUUUUUGCAAAAGAAUUAAUUGUUUUCCAUCCUCCAUGCCACACAUUCAUUUUUUUAAUGUUUCUUUAUUUUGAGAAAGAGAGAGAGAGAGAGAGAGAGAGCCAGCAUGUGCACACAAGAGUGCAUGUGAGUGGGGGAGGGGCAGAAAGAAAGAGGGAGAGAGAGAAUUCCAAGCAGUCACCAUGUUUAGCACAGAGUCCCACAUGCGGCUCAAUCCUGCCACCACGAAAUUCCGACCUGAGCUAAUAUCAAGAGUCAGAUGCUUAACCAACUGACUCACCUGGGUGCCCCCAAGCCCCACAUUCUUACAAUUUAAUAUAUAGAGGAAUCAGUGACUAUGCAUCUUAAAACAGCAGAUUCCUGGGUCCCAUACCUGGAGUAUUGAUUUAGUAGUUCUGACAAAGAACCCAGGAACCACAGUUUUGAGACAUAUGAAGGUUAUUCUGAUAAAUUCAGAAUAUAUAGGCAUGUGACCUAAUUACUGUGAUUGAAACAAUUUCCCGGGUAAUUCUAAUAUUCAGACAAGGUUGAGGAUUGCAGCUGUAGACCAGCAACUCCAAACAUGAGUGGGCAUGCAGAUUAUCUGGGGCUCUUGGUCAAGCGGUUCUGGAGUGCUGCCUGAGAGUAUGCGUUUCUCACAACCUCACAGGGAUGACAGGGCUGUCGCUCAGUGAGAAAUGCUGCGCUCAUUCUGGCCUCCCUCUGCCCUAUGGUUGCCACAGGUGGGUAAAUUUUCAAGGACAUGACUUGUAGCCCAGCUCACCUGUGUCAAGUCAAUAAAACUUCUCAAGAAACUCUUUCCAUCAAAAGAAUGGUGAUAGGAAGUCCUGAGCUAGGUCAAACUUGAGAAAACUUUUUUUUUUUUUUUUUU
rnacentral:lncRNA from 1 species